UGGUCAAUUGGCGAAAGCCAGAACCAGUCAUGCCGCGUGCAGGAUGAAGGCCCUACGGGUCGUAAACUGCUUUUAUUCGGGAAGAAAAAGUCUGUUUCCACAGACCUUGACGGUACCGAUUGAAUAAGGACCGGCCAACUCCGUGCCAGCAGCCGCGGUAAUACGGAGGGUCCAAGCGUUAUCCGGAUUCACUGGGUUUAAAGGGUGCGCAGGCGGCUAAGUAAGUCAGUGGUGAAAGCCUUCGGCUCAACCGGAGAAUUGCCAUUGAAACUACUUAGCUUGAGUGCAGUAGAGGUAGGCGGAAUGUAGCAUGUAGCGGUGAAAUGCAUAGAUAUGCUACAGAACACCGAUAGCGAAAGCAGCUUACCACACUGUAACUGACGCUGAGGCACGAAAGCAUGGGUUG
rnacentral:rRNA from 1 species